UACAGAGGAUGCAAGCGUUAUCCGGAAUGAUUGGGCGUAAAGCGUCUGUAGGUGGCUUUUUAAGUCCGCCGUCAAAUCCCAGGGCUCAACUCUGGACAGGCGGUGGAAACUACCAAGCUGGAGUACGGUAGGGGCAGAGGGAAUUUCCGGUGGAGCGGUGAAAUGCGCAGAGAUCGGAAGGAACACCAAUGGCGAAGGCAGCUCGCUGGGACGGUGCUGACGCUGAGGCGCGAAAGCGUGGGGAGCAAACAGG
rnacentral:rRNA from 1 species